AUGAGUGACUACAAGCAAGGAGAUACCUCAACAGAGUAUGAUAUAAUUCGAGAGCUGUUCAGUGAUUCCAGUAGUAACAUUCAUGGUAAUGAGGAUGAGGAUGAAAAGCAGGGCGAAGAGGAUGAUGAUGAUGAUGAUGACGAUGACGACGACAACGACGACGAAGAGGACGAGGAGGAAGAGGAGGAUGAACAUUUUGAAGAGGCUCUAGAAAGGGAGCUGCAGGCCAAGAUUACUGAAUAUCGCCAGAAUAAGACUAAGACAGGUGCCCGUGAAAUAGUUAUGGAAAUUCAGAAAAAUAUUCAUUACAAGGAGAAAAAGCUCCAUGUGAUUCAAAUCAAAGCACAAAGGCAGAAGAAUAUUUUCAGAAAAGUGGAAAACCUGGCCCUCAGGAUUUCCAGAGUGCAUGUGUAUGAGACCGCUAUAAGAAAAAGCAACGAACUUCAACAAAAAGAAAAUAACCAUUUAAGAUGUGUGCUGGAGAAUCUUAACAUACAGGAAAAACAAACAAAUGAGCAGAUCGCUUCCCUAAAGGAGAAGUUGAACUAUUUUCUGAAGAAAUGAAGAGAGCGUUCAACCUGGCAUAUCAACGUUGGAUCCACCAUCCAGACUAAAGUCUGGGUGAAGCUGUGCAUCUCUUGGUCCUUUCAGCUGCCUUAGUUGCAUCUGUUCCUCUAAACCUUUUUUUUUUCUUUUUGCUAGAGAUAACAUAGUAGAAGCUCACACUCAUGUAAAAAUAGUACUUAAAAAGUAGUAGAUUUAAAGAGCCUACUCAGUGAUGGAACUUUGCUUCUCCUUAUCAAUUUUAGAAUGACAUAAUUGCUUUUGUGCCGUGGUGCCAUCAGGUGACUCACCUGUGCUUGCCAAAGGCAGACAUUGUAGCCUCAGAGGUCAUACAACUGAUUUGAGUGUGUUUUAGCUUUUCCAAACCCUUCUGAUUAAGUAUUUCCUACAACAUAGAAAAAAAUCAGUUCAUUUCUGUCAUGAGCUAGGACCUGCCACAGUGAAUUAAAGUGCCUACCUUAGAGCAGUUAGUAAUAGUUUAUAUCCUGUCUGUUCAGGUAAUAGGGCUGCUUUCUUGCUCAGGGAUAAUUUCUUGCUUCUGCUUAUCUUUAUACAGCUGUCGUGUAUUUAGGACUGUGGCUGGUUGUUAUUCAUGAAGUAAGGAAACCGUCAGAAGAGAGUUGAAAAGUUCUGAGCUGUUUUCUUAUUCUGAGCCUCCUCAUACUAAUCCCCAUUAGAAGAGUUCAGGAAAACUCAGAUGCUUAUAAUGCCUAUGAACAGUUCUUUAACAACCCUGAAUCAUUUUAGAGUAUUUUUAUUUUCAUCUCUAUUGUGAUUUUCUGGUCUGUAUUCUUUAAGCAAUAAAUAAAUUCUUUCUUUUAAGUAGAUUGCUGUCAACUUUUUUUGAGUGGGGGCAGUGUUGAGGAUCCAACC
rnacentral:lncRNA from 1 species